UACGAAGGGGGCUAGCGUUGCUCGGAAUCACUGGGCGUAAAGCGCACGUAGGCGGAUUGCUAAGUCAGGGGUGAAAUCCUGGAGCUCAACUCCAGAACUGCCUUUGAUACUGGCGACCUUGAGUCCGGGAGAGGUGAGUGGAACUGCGAGUGUAGAGGUGAAAUUCGUAGAUAUUCGCAAGAACACCAGUGGCGAAGGCGGCUCACUGGCCCGGUACUGACGCUCAUGUGCGAAAGCGUGGGGAGCAAACAGG
rnacentral:rRNA from 1 species